ACGGGAGGCAGCAGUGAGGGAUAUUGCACAAUGGGCGCAAGCCUGAUGCAGCAACGCCGCGUGAGGGAAGACGGUCUUCGGAUUGUAAACCUUUGUCUUUGGUGAAGAAUAAAGUGACGGUAGCCGAGGAGGAAGCCACGGCUAACUACGUGCCAGCAGCCGCGGUAAUACGUAGGUGGCAAGCGUUGUCCGGAUUUACUGGGUGUAAAGGGAGCGCAGGCGGGAUGACAAGUCAGCUGUGAAAUGUGUGGGCUUAACCCAUAAACUGCAGUUGAAACUGUUGUUCUUGAGUGGAGUAGAGGCAAGCGGAAUUCCGAGUGUAGCGGUGAAAUGCGUAGAUAUUCGGAGGAACACCAGUGGCGAAGGCGGCUUGCUGGGCUCUAACUGACGCUGAGGCUCGAAAGUGUGGGGAGCAAACAGGAUUAGAUACCCUGGUA
rnacentral:rRNA from 1 species